GAGGGCAUAACUGUCUCCUGUGGUCAAUCAAUGAAAUUGAUCUCACAGUACAAACGCUGUAAUAUAAUUAUAAGACGAGAAGACCCUGUGGAGCUUUAAAUACACCGCAUUAACUAGUUUAUCAUUAGCAUAAUGUAAAUUUUAAGUUGGGGCGACUAUGGAGUAAAACUAAACCUCCAUGUAACACGACUAAAACUCGUCAUUUAAGACUUACAAGCCUAACCAAAAUAGAUGACCCAGUAAAACUGAUCAACGAACCAAGUUACCCCAGGGAUAACAGCGCCAUCCCCUUAAAGAGUCCGCAUCGC
rnacentral:rRNA from 1 species